ACAGUCUUUGCUAGGUAAGGAUUAACCAUCCACCUAUAUCGAGUGUUGCGCCUUGAAUUGGUAACAAUUCAGGUGAAGUGUACA
rfam:Selenihalanaerobacter shriftii strain ATCC BAA-73 genome assembly, contig: EI55DRAFT_scaffold00001.1